UAAAAAUAUAAAACUAAAAAUGUAAAACUCAAAAGCCUAGUUUCUUUUUGUCCAAAAAAAAACCUCGACUCAUAAUUUUUUUUUUCUAGUCUCUUCCCUCGUCGUCUCUCUUCUCACCGCUCUACCUGAGACACAAGACAUCGAGACAGAAGAGAGACGAAGAGAAGAGAGAGAGGAGACAAAGUCCGGACAUGAGAAAGGAAGAAGAAGAGGCGACGGCCGGAGUGGUGUCGACGACGACGGAGAGAAGACAGAGAUCUCGGCUUGGUCGGCAAAGGCGAUAGCUUGGGUCGGAUACUCUGAGAUUGAGGCUUCUUCUGUAGAUUAGACUCUAAAGAUCCCGAACUUCUCUUUCUGAUGAAUCUCCUCCUCAGUAAGCUAUGAAGACCUAAGGGGAGUAAAGAGAAAGAAGGAGAGAUGGGAAACGAGAUGAAAUCCCCGCAGGAACAGAGCUCUUAAACCGUUGAGCAGAUUGCCUUUUCCAGGUGUGGCCACUGCAAGUCUCUUGCUCCUGCAAACAAACGGUUUCAACAAGUAAAAGAAGAAGAGAAAAGCAUAUUGGUUGGUAAUGUUUUCAUGAGCUGUGGCUUGCAGAGGCUGUGGAAGGAAAGACUCUUGGGUAGCUGAGUCCAUUUGCAGGGACUACACAUCUUGAUGUGGCCGUGGAACGGGUUAGUGAAUACAAUUGAUCUUCUUCUUCUUUUUUUCUCAUAGAGUUUUGUAGUUGAAAAUGUCUAUUCUCUUGUCAUACAUAUUGUUCAAUAGAUUAUUUUUCAAAUGCAGGUGAUGUAUUUUCAAUAUAUAUUAGCUGCCUAGUCAAUGUUUAUAAUAUAUAUAUUCAUUAUAUAACAGUUCUUUACAGUGAGAGAUUCUGCAAUUGAGGUUGUAUGUGCGGAGAACAGUGAGAUUGUUUUUCAAAUGCAGGUGAUCACUUGAUUUCAGUGGUUAUGCAAUGCGGACAAGUCACCACAUGAACCUUGUUUGGCUUGUGAAGUGAGUCAAAGAAGAUCAUCGAUUGACUAGCUUUAAAAAUUCAAGUUGUUGUCUAUGUAAUGUCUAUGUUUUAGCCCCUGUUCGGGAACGCGCUAGUCGGGCGGUCGGAUUGGGCCUAGCGCCUAAAGAGAAAAUCGAAGAUUAAUCGGAAAUUAUACAGGGCGGAAUUUUUAGAUGGUUUUUAAAAUUACUUGUACCUAUAUUUGUUACGCUCUGUACAGUGUUUGUUACGCUUUGGUACAAGUUGUACAGAGCGUAACAAACACUGUAUCUUCAUCUUCUUCGAGUGUUCUCUAAUUUGAGAGAGAGCUCGACCUUCGUUGAUAGUGGAUUGCUGGCUCUGUCCAGCCCCGGUGAUAUAUAGCGGCUUCUCCAUUUCGGAGGAGUGCGGUGAACACCAGGUGAACAUA